GCUGGGUGCAGUGGCCCACGCCUGUGAUCCCAGCUUCUCAGGAGGCUGAGGCAGGAGGACUGCAGGUUCAAGGCCAGCCAGCCUUGGCAAUUUAGUGAGACCCUGUCUCAA
rnacentral:sRNA from 1 species